GACUUGAUACUUUAAAAUAAAAGAUCUGACUUGCAUUCAGACAAUAAGUUUCCCACUACUUUCAGGUCA
rnacentral:tRNA from 1 species